rnacentral:rRNA from 1 species
CAGCCGCCACGGUAAUACGUAGGGCGCAAGCGUUAUCCGGAAUUAUUGGGCGUAAAGAGCUCGUAGGCGGUUUGUCGCGUCUGCCGUGAAAGUCCGGGGCUCAACCCCGGAUCUGCGGUGGGUACGGGCAGACUAGAGUGAUGUAGGGGAGACUGGAAUUCCUGGUGUAGCGGUGAAAUGCGCAGAUAUCAGGAGGAACACCGAUGGCGAAGGCGGGUCUCUGGGCAUUAACUGACGCUGAGGAGCGAAAGCAUGGGGAGCGAACAGGAUUAGAUACCCGCGUAGUCCCUGUCUCUUAUAC